rnacentral:SRP_RNA from 1 species
GGUCAAGUCCCGUGCGACUGCAACAAGCCCAACCCCGCCAGGUCCGGAAGGAAGCAACGGUCAGUUUGCGUGUAGUGCGAUACGGUCAGCUUGACCUUU